GCUGGCAUCCACCCCUACCGCUCCCGUCCCCAGACCGCAUCUCGUCCUUUCUCAUCUCUCUCCACCUCUCCACUCUCAGAUCGCAUCUCGAGCGCGGAGGACCAUGGCCAUCGUCACCACCGAGCCUCGAUCUCCACCUCCGGUCACGACGCCAUCGCCGCCGCCUCGUCCCCCCUACCGCCGUCUCUCUCUCUCUCUCUCUCUCUCUCUCUCUCUCAUGCUCUGACGGGCAACUCCAUUCGCGUCGCCAGGAUGGGCUCCUCCAUGCGAGGUGCUCCAUAUCGGGCGUGGGCGGCCAGAUCUACGGCAGCUUGAUCGAGGAAGGCCACAUCUACGUCAUAUUGGUCGAGGGCGGCGGGAUCCAUGGCGCCGUCUCCUGCUCUGAUUUGGCUGACUAGGGUUAUUGCCGCCGCGGAUCUCGCUGUGCCCGUCAUGGACGCCUCGCCCCCGGGCUCCUCCGCCGUCGUCGGCGAGGACGCGUUCAUCUGCUGUUGCACUUCUAAGCUGAAGAAUGUGAAAUGAUGUGCUCCUCAACCAGAUGACAAUUUCAGCACUUCUAAGCUGAAGAAUGUAAUACCUGGGUGAGAUGCACUCAAAACAUAAUUUAUGUGUGUCACUCAAAUCAGAUUCUACAUUGCAGUUACUGCCUUCCUGGUAUGCUACACCAUAACCUUAACACUUUCCCUUCAAGUUUAUUUUUUUCCGAAGGCAUUUGGAUUUUUGAAUAACGCGGGAUAUAUUGACUGGGACCUGCACUAACUCGCUGGGUUACUUUUUUCUCUUGCAAGUUCUAAAUUUUUGUUCAUGAUUCUGAUGUUUGCAGCACAAAGCCCUUGAUAGGGUGCUUGCAGAGGUGAGACGUUGGAGAGCCUAGUGGAGUUCGAAUCUAACUGCUGCUUCACAGGUCACAACUCUGUAUAGAACUGAUUUCUCAGGAAGAAGGGAGCUAUCAGCAAGGCAAAUGCACACAGUUAGCUGAUGAGAGGAAGAAGCAAAUGUUGUUUACUUUGGAUCAGAUGAUGUCGAUGCUGCUAUAUAGAAGAGAGCUUCCCACAUGAUGGUUUCACAUUAUCUUGCACAAUGUAUUACUAGACUAUUUGGAUUUGUAAUUGCAAAGUUACUAAAAAAUAAGUUACAAUGGAUCUGUGAUGUAUAACCUGUGUAUUUGCGCCUCCAGCAAUUGACUUUAGAGAUAGUAGUUAAUAUGUAUGACUUCAACAGAUUGUGUAUGUGUAUCUGCAAUGUAUAUAUGGAUAGAAACUAUGUAUUUAUGAUGUAUAUAAAAUCUAUUUAUGGCC